rnacentral:rRNA from 1 species
UACGUAGGUGACAAGCGUUGUCCGGAUUUACUGGGCGUAAAGAGCGCGCAGGCGGUCGAUCAAGUCGAGUGUGAAAGCCCCCGGCUCAACUGGGGAGGGUCACGCGAUACUGGUCGACUCGAAGGCAGGAGAGGGUAGUGGAAUUCCCGGUGUAGUGGUGAAAUGCGUAGAUAUCGGGAGGAACACCAGUGGCGAAGGCGACUACCUGGCCUGUUCUUGACGCUGAGGCGCGAAAGCUAGGGGAGCAAACAGG